rnacentral:rRNA from 1 species
UACGUAGGUGACAAGCGUUGUCCGGAUUUACUGGGCGUAAAGAGCGCGCAGGCGGUCGAUCAAGUCGAAUGUGAAAGCCCCCGGCUCAACUGGGGAGGGUCAUUCGAUACUGAUCGACUCGAAGGCAGGAGAGGGAAGUGGAAUUCCCGGUGUAGUGGUGAAAUGCGUAGAUAUCGGGAGGAACACCAGUGGCGAAGGCGACUUCCUGGCCUGUUCUUGACGCUGAGGCGCGAAAGCUAGGGUAGCAAACGGG